CCUACGGGGCGCAGCAGUGAGGAAUAUUGGUCAAUGGCCGCAGGGCUGAACCAGCCAAGUCGCGUGAGGGAUGACGGUCCUAUGGAUUGUAAACCUCUUUUGUCAGGGAGCAAAGGGCGCCUCGUGUGGCGUUUUGCGAGUACCUGAAGAAAACGAAUCGGCUAACUCCGUGCAAGCAGCCGCGGUAAUACGGAGGAUGCGAGCGUUAUCCGGAUGUAUUGGGUUAAAAGGGUGCGCAGGCGGAAUGUCAAGUCAGCGGUAAAAUUUCGGGGCUAAACCCCGUCGUGCCGUUGAAACUGGCGUUCUUGAGUGAGCGAGAAGUAUGUGGAAUGCGUGGUGUAGCGGUGAAAUGCAUAGAUAUCACGCGGAACUCCGAUUGCGAAGGCAGCAUACCGGCGCUCAACUGACGCUGAUGCACGAAAGCGUGGGUAUCCAACAGGAUUAGAUACCCCGGUAGUC
rnacentral:rRNA from 1 species